UGCAAGUUGAACGUUUCGAACUAUGGUGAAACGUAGCGUACGGCUCAGUAACACGUGGCUAACCUGCCCUUGAGACUGGCAUAAUCCCGGGAAACUGGGGCUAAUACCAGAUAGGUGAAGAUGCCUGGAAUGGUUCAUUAUCUAAAGGAUGUUGAGACCAUGUUUCACAGCGUCGCUCAAGGAUGGGGCUGCGGCCGAUCAGGUAGUUGGUGAGGUAACUGCUCACCAAGCCUUUAACCGGUACGGGCCGUGAGAGCGGGAGCCCGGAGAUGGGCACUGAGAUAAGGGCCCAGGCCCUAUGGGGCGCAGCAGUUGCGAAACCUCCGCAAUGCGCGAAAGCGUGACGGGGUUACCCCAAGUGCCAUCCGCUGAGGACGGCUUUUCUUCGGUGUAAUGAGCCGAAGGAAUAAGGGGAGGGCAAGACUGGUGUCAGCCGUCGCGGUAAUACCAGCUCCCCGAGUGGUAGGGACAAUUAUUGGGCUUAAAGCGUCCGUAGCCGGCCUGACAAGUCCUUCGUUAAAUCCAACGACCUAAUCGUUGGGCUGCGGGGGAUACUCUCAGGCUAGGGGACGGGAGAGACCGAUGGUAUUCUUGGGGUAGGGGUGAAAUCCUAUAAUCCCAGGAGGACCACCAGUGGCGAAGGCGAUCGGCUAGAACGCGCUCGACGGUGAUGGACGAAAGCUGGGGGAGCGAACCGGAUUAGAUACCCGGGUAGUCCCAGCUGUAAACGAUGCGAGCUAGGUGUUGGAGUGGUUACGAACCGCUUCAGUGCCGUA
rnacentral:rRNA from 1 species